GACGAACGCUGGCGGCGUGCCUAAUACAUGCAAGUCGAACGAGAGCGACCGGUGCUUGCACUGGUCAAUCUAGUGGCGCGCGGGUGAGUAACACGUGGGUAACCUGCUCAUCAGAGGGGGAUAACAUCCGGAAACGGAUGCUAACACCGCAUAGGUCUUCGAGCCGCAUGGCUUGAAGAGGAAAAGAGGCGCAAGCUUCUGCUGAUGGAUGGACCCGCGGUGCAUUAGCUAGUUGGUGAGGUAACGGCUCACCAAGGCCGUGAUGCAUAGCCGACCUGAGAGGGUGAUCGGCCACAUUGGGACUGAGACACGGCCCAAACUCCUACGGGAGGCAGCAGUAGGGAAUCUUCCGCAAAGGACGCAAGUCUGACGGAGCAACGCCGCGUGAGUGAAGAAGGUGUUCGGAUCGUAAAACUCUGUUGUUAGAGAAGAACAAGUGCUAGAGUAACUGUUAGCGCCUUGACGGUAUCUAACCAGAAAGCCACGGCUAACUACGUG
rnacentral:rRNA from 1 species